rnacentral:rRNA from 1 species
UACAGAGGGAGCGAGCGUUUUCCGGAAUCACUGGGCGUAAAGGGCGCGUAGGCGGCCUGGUAAGUAGGGGGCGAAAUCUCAUGGCUCAACUGUGAGGCUGCCUUCUAGACUGCCGGGCUUGAGCAUGGUAGAGGCUGGUGGAAUUCCCGGUGUAGCGGUGGAAUGCGUAGAGAUCGGGAAGAACAUCCGUGGCGAAGGCGGCCAGCUGGGCCAUCUGCUGACGCUGAGGCGCGAAAGCGUGGGGAGCAGACAGG